GCGUUUGCUUCAGGGGCCGGUGAUAGUGGAACUCAGUGAUCGAGCCGGCGUCGUUGCAUAAAGGUCCCACGAGCCGCUGUCGACCCACGCAUAUUGCCGCCGAGGAAACUUGUUUCUGCUGAUUGGGCAUGCCCGCGACGAGUGUCGGAAGUGUUUGCCAGGCGAGGAAAUGGCAGCCGUUGUCUCUACCAUGGCGGAUGUUUUUUUACGCUCUUCAGGCUUACUUCAUCGAAGUCAACUUUGCAGCUGCUGUUGACCUGUUUGCGUCAGGAAACAUCACACUGCGUGGCUGGAGCAGCAUGUGGGCCCUGAUUAUCUAUUCGGUGGCCGCCGUCAUUAUGGAGAAGAUCCGCGAUGUGCUAAAGCCUCGCGGAUAUCCUCUGGCCGCCGUUGCAUUCGCUCACAUGUGCUGCAUGUAUUUGUGCGAGUUCACCUCUGGCUGUAUACUUAAGCCACUCGGUGCGUGCUACUGGACCUACGAACACUUCCGCUUCAACAUUGCUGGUUUGGUGACCCUGGAGUACGCACCUCUGUGGUAUUUUCUUGGUGUGGUUUUUGAAAUAUUCUAUGUGCCCUACUUGUUUCGACUUGGGUGGAUAGAAAACGUGGAAUGAUUGAUGGAGUGUGAUGUGCCAUGUUUCCGAGUCUAGUUAUUGUCCAUAUAUGGGGUUUCGCGCUCUUAUCCACAAUGAAUCUGCACCAAUUGACCCACUUUUCAAUUUUAACCAACGUAGGCGCAGAGCUUUACAUACGACACCGUUUAUAUUUUCAGCCAGAUGUUUUCCCACAACUACACGCUACGUCCCCAAUCUCCUAAUAACCAUCGGCAACCGGAAAAACGCAAAAAGAAUUGUUUUUAAGACAAGCAUUCUCGGCAAGUUGUGGUAAACUAGAGAGGUGAGUGAGUUUGAAACGAUGCACACUAGACAAACCACGUGAACACGACGCAAACACACCACAAAAAGAACCAGCGCUCGUCCUGUUUGUUUCACUCGUGUUCGCGUUGGUUCCCAAAGCCCAGGCAAGUUAUAUACCCAGCCAUUUGUGAAAUCUGCAUAACAGAACUUCCAACACUAGUUUUUUCCGAAAAAAAUAAGGCUGGAACAGCAUGUACAUGAAUACGAAAGAAAGUACCUUUCAUAGGAGAUGCAUCUGUACUUUGUUUUUCUCAAUGUGGCACACCUGUAUGCCCAACAUCACGCCCUUGGAAACAAACUUUGAAUUAUUAGCCGGGGAGCAAAACAUAAGAAUAAUGGUUUGAAGAAAUAAAAAAUCUUUGGAAUAAAAAUUAUGAGAAUAAAAACGAUGUGG